rnacentral:misc_RNA from 1 species
GAUGAAGAACGCAGCGAAAUGCGAUAAGUAAUGUGAAUUGCAGAGUUCAGUGAAUCAUCGAAUCUUUGAACGCACAUUGCGCCCGCCAGUAUUCUGGCGGGCAUGCCUGUUCGAGCGUCAUUUCAACCCUCAAGCACUGCUUGGUGUUGGUGGCCUGCCCGCUGCGGCCGGCCCUAAAGACAGUGGCGGUGCCGCCUGGCCCUGAGCGUAGUACAUCUCUCGCUCCAGUGCCCGGUGGUAGCCUGCCAGAACCCCAACUCUCGUGGUUGACCUCGGAUCAGGUAGGGAUACCCGCUGAACUUAAGCAUAUCAAUAAGCGGAGGA